GAAUCAGAAAUAGAAAUGUUUCAUAUGAUGCAAAUAGUAAACAAUAAAGUGCCUACAUGCAGAGAUUUUAAAUUCUAGUUGAUAAAAAAUAAACAUAAUACACAGAAAAUUGUAUUAAAAAUUCAGCAAAUGACCUACAGUAUGAGGUGUAUCUUACUUUAAAUAACUUGCUCUAGACAGGCCCUCAGAAGAGAAAAGUUAAUCAGGAUCUUGAAAUAAAGAAAGAAGGAAACCAUGAAGAUAUCUAGAGAAGAGAGUGUCAGGUAGAGAAAAUAGCACAUGAAAUGGUAAUGUGACAGAAAUGGCUGACAGAAGAUGAAGAAAUCCCAGGGUGAAUAGAAAAAUAUUCCAGAGUAUGUACUGUCUUUGAUUAUACUGUAAGAAGUUUGGAUUUUAUUCUCAGAGAGAGGAGAAUCCAUUCGAAGCAUGAGCUUCAUAUAAUCCAUUUCUAUAUUAAAUAUAGCCCCUAGGCUUUUGGAUUAAAAAAUAGAGUGCAUGACAAACAUGAGGCAAACAGGUUUGGGGGUAAUUAAAUUAUAUCUGUGUCAGUAGCUGUGCUAUUCUAUUUAUUCAUAAAAUUUCUCAGAGUUUUUUUUUUUAAUUAUAGAUUCAGGGAUUACAUGUGCAGAUUUGUGGCAUGGAUAUAUUUUGUAAUGGUGGGACUUGGCUUCGAAUGUACCCAUCACUUCGAUAGUGAACACUGUACUCAAUAGAUCUCCAGGUGGAGAAGUUGAAAAGCAGUUGGAGAGUUGGAGAGAGAGUUUCUGCCUCAAAGAAAAA